rnacentral:tRNA from 2 species
GGGCGUAUGGUCUAGAGGUAUGAUACCUGCUUUGGGUGCAGGGGGUCUUCGGUUCGAAUCCGGAUUCGCCCC